CCUACGGGCGGCAGCAGUGGGGAAUAUUGCACAAUGGGCGCAAGCCUGAUGCAGCCAUGCCGCGUGUAUGAAGAAGGCCUUCGGGUUGUAAAGUACUUUCAGUCGGGAGGAAGGUGUCAAGGUUAAUAACCUUGGCAAUUGCUGUUACCGACAGAAGAAGCACCGGCUAACUCCGUACCAGCAGCCGCGGUAAUACGGAGGGGGGAAGCGUUAAUCGGAAUUACUGGGCGGAACGCGCGCGUAGGCGGUUGAUUGAGUCAGAUGUGAACUCCCCGGGCUUAACCCGGGAAUUGCAUCUGAUACUGGUCAGCUAGAGUGUUGUAGAGGGGAGUAGAAUUCCGAGUGUAGCGGUGAAAUGCGUAGAGAUGUGGAGGAAUACCGGUGGCGAAGGCGGCCCCCUGGAC
rnacentral:rRNA from 1 species